rnacentral:rRNA from 1 species
UCGCUUCCGUAACCUAGGAAGUGCUUUUGCUUUCUUUUGUCACCUUGGUUUCUGCCGUCGCGGCGACGGCGAGGUGUGUGGCGGCCGCGGCGGCCGCGACGGCUACGUCAGGCGAGGAUUGUGGGAGAAGGCGGAGGAGUGAUGUCGUUGUAGGGGUGGCGAGUGAUGGUGGAGGGGAGAGGCUGGGAGGGGCUAAAGAGGGGGGCGGACGGGGCAGAGGAGGCUGCGGCUGCAGCCGUUUGUGCGUCGGCGGCGGCGAGUAGGGGCCUCAGGCGCUGCGGAGGAGGGACCAGGAGACUCCAUCGUCGGGGACGCGGGUGGCUAAGGGGGAGGAGGGCCAACAGAGGGGAUGGGGUAGAUGAGGCUGCGGCUACAGCCGUUCAUGCGGCGGCCGCGGCAGGCGGAGACUAAGGCGCUGGGGAGAGAAUGGAAUAAGAGACUGCGUCGUCGGGUCGGCGGGUGGUAGAGGGGUAGGAAGGGCCGCAGAGGAGGAAGGGGGUGGGGUAGAGGAUGCUGCGGCUGCAACCGUUCAUGCGGCGGCCGUGCAAGGCAGGGGGCUCGAGCACUGCGGUGAGGACGGAGUAGGAGACUACGUCUUUGGGCCGGCGGGUGGUGGAGGAGGAGGACCGGCCGAGAAGUCGCUGCGGCCGCGGUCGAAGGGACGCUGCGCGAGGUCCGGUAAGGGAAGCUCAUGAACGACCAGGUGUGGGCAAAGGAGGUCAUUUGAGACAAAGUCUCUGCCGACCAGACCACACUACCAACGGAGACGACAACGGAGAGGAAGGAUGGGCAGGGCGGAGGUUUAAAGUUUAAAAGACAGUGAGUUUCAAGUUUAGGCGCGCGGGUCAAGCUUGACAGGUCUUUGAUGAGGACGUCGGGUUAUAUUUAUUCACCCGUCCGUAUACCCUGGGUCCGACGAGUUUGAUGUGGGGGUUCUUCAGUGUGUAACCAGUACGGUUGGAAGUCUAGCUUGCCUCACACUCCUUCACACUAAGUGACGAGAAGUGGUAGAUUAGAAGAAGCAGUUCCCGUUCGGUUCAGGUUGUCUUGAACGAGGUCACCGUGCGGUUAAGGAGUAUGUUCAUAUAAAUAUGCGCUCGGUUAUCUAUACUGUUCAAGUUCAGUCAGAAGAAACCUACUACUUCACUGUUUGCUUAGUAGAUGCUAAAAAGGAUGAUUACCGUACGAGUAUAGUUGACUCCCGAACCUCGCUCCUCUUUCGAGUUUUCCUGCUUUCGCACAUACACUUCGUUAUUCUAUACGAUCGGCAUGUGGUCUUGUUUAGGUUCGUUCCGCUCUUGCACAAUCUCGUGCAGCCGUUUUAAAUUGUGGACGACUCUCCCUUUUCUAAUUACGUGUUUCUUCUCUCUUUUCUGUUGCUUACCGUGAACUACUCUCCUUACGUUCGGUUGCUCGUGCAUCCGUUUCAAACUGUUAUCUACUCUCCGUUCUUUAUUUACGUGCGGCCGCUCGUGCAUCCGUUUCGGAUGGUGGACUUCUCGCCGUUCGUGAGGAUCGAGUUGCAUUACGUUCGAUGCGUAGAUUUGCUCUACGGGAGACGUCCCUAAGACAACGUGAUGUCACGGGAUGUCCAAGUAACUACCCUGUAGGUAGUAGUUCAAGAAUACAGAAAUCGGUGGGUCCUCUACUACUAUGAUAGGUCGUGUACCUUGAGUGUAGUCACGUUACAGGUUGUAGAUGAAGUCACCUGUUAGGUAGUAGUGGGGUACUACCAAAGCAUAUAAGUCUAAGGGGUUAUCUUUCGAAACAGCGGCUACUACUACUAAGAGUGUACAGACUUCUUGUUCUGCUACUCAUGAAGUGUAAACGACCCUCUCCACUGCUACUUCUGAACCAUCUACGGAAAUGUUGUCUGUGGUAACAGGGACUGGAUAUACUAGCACAGAUGGUGUUAUGGUCACUCGUCUACCUACUACACUCUCCGGGUUUUGAUUAUACCAACCGUAUUUACAAAACUCGUUUGUCGAUUUCUCCUCAAGUGUCCCGAACGUAAACUGCUUCGGUGAUAAGCUUCCUACGACCGUGUACCGUGUAGUAAAACGGUAUCAUUAGAACGAAUACCUCGGGCUAAUAAAACCAACAUGAACAUACAUGAGUACAUACGUUCAAUACGUGGUUCACAAAAUAAAAUAACAAAAGAGAAAAGAGUACACUCAAUAGCACCGAACAAUGACCUACACUAUACAAACACUCCACGAGUUACAGAAAUGGUAAAGAUCGUCUAUUAACACACGCCCGACCUCAACAUCAGGUACAAUUCGUUUGUCUUCGGUUUCUGUCCGUUUACCUCUCUAUUUCGACCACUUACAACAGUGUCAACGAUGCACACAUUCAACGAUGCACACAUCUGCUUAAAAUAUAAACGGCGUACGAGAGGGGAACUAUAUCCUAUCUCGCUCGUUAAUCUCUCAACACAUCCCUCUUCCAGAAGGAUGCUCUACAUC